GUUUGAUCUCUGGUUCCAGCAAGAUGGCAGAUUAGGAAUGCAUAAAACUUUCCACAUAAAAACACCUAGAAAUGCUGGGCUUAUUUUUAGAGUAAAUUCCUAGAAGUGGGAUUUCUGGAACAAAAGAGAUGGAGUCUAUCUAUGUCAUCUAGGCUGGUCUCAAGCUCCUAAGCUCAAGCAAUCCCUCCCGUCUCAGAGACUUCAGGAUAAACUCCAGGGAUUGAGUGCUGGUGUCAAAUAAACUUCAACAUGGGAAACAUCGGAAGAAUACAUUCUGCACUUCUUCCAGACUUGGAAAGAACUGGGGCCAAUUAAAAGUGAACUUUUAAGAGAAAUGAACAUCUUGCAUGCCAGGUUUCAGCUGAAUGUCACUGCAAUUGCCUAAAUUAUAACUAUCAGAAAAAAUUCAUUCUAAUUAUGGAAAUGCCAUU
rnacentral:lncRNA from 1 species